rnacentral:antisense_RNA from 1 species
AAAUCGAUGCCAACAUUUCCCUCAAAUGCAACGAAGCAGACGUCCACGGAGAUGUAAGCCAAGAUUGGCCCAAGGAAGUGAAGCAGGAGGUUUGCCAGAGAGCUACUAACUGGAGAAGGGCUUUCAUUCUUAGUCAAAGGCUGAGGAGCACGGAGCAGCGGUUCUCCAGGUCCUGUGGGUGCUCCCAGCCGUCUGCGAGCCGGCCUCCCACGGCAUCCAUGGCUACAUUCUUCUCUCUUAUGCAUGGGCUUACUUAGGAUAUUUACGUAAAAAGGACAUCUCACUGGUGUCUCAAGAAAGUAGAAACUACUCUUCCCAACCCCACUGCCGAGGAGCAGCACUGGCUGUUCAGGCUGUGACAAGCACAAGUAGGAGGGGCGGGCGACUGACCGGGUACUUGGCCACCACAGAGCUGAAAACCUCUGGUGCUUACAACAAUAAGGAUGUUUAUCUAGCCUGUCUCUCUCUCUCCAUCCAGAUAUUCUCCUUUACCUUUUCAGAGCCUAUGUUGUCAAGGUAACAUUUUAAAAACAGUAUUUAUUGAGAACCUCGAAAACAACCUAAGAAACAAU